rnacentral:rRNA from 1 species
AGAGUUUGAUCCUGGCUCAGGAUGAACGCUGGCGGCGUGCCUAACACAUGCAAGUCGAACGAGGUAUUUUGAUUGAAGUUUUCGGAUGAAUUUCAAGAUACCGAGUGGCGGACGGGUGAGUAACGCGUGGGUAACCUGCCUCAUACAGGGGGAUAACGGUUAGAAAUGACUGCUAAUACCGCAUAAGCGCACAGUACCGCAUGGUACGGUGUGAAAAACUCCGGUGGUAUGAGAUGGACCCGCGUCUGAUUAGCUAGUUGGUGAGGUAACGGCCCACCAAGGCAACGAUCAGUAGCCGACCUGAGAGGGUGACCGGCCACAUUGGGACUGAGACACGGCCCAGACUCCUACGGGAGGCAGCAGUGGGGGAUAUUGCACAAUGGAGGAAACUCUGAUGCAGCGACGCCGCGUGAGUGAAGAAGUAUUUCGGUAUGUAAAGCUCUAUCAGCAGGGAAGAAAAUGACGGUACCUGACUAAGAAGCCCCGGCUAACUACGUGCCAGCAGCCGCGGU